UACUGAGGGUGCAAGCGUUAUCCGGAUUCACUGGGUUUAAAGGGUGCGUAGGUGGGAAGGUAAGUCAGUGGUGAAAUCCCCGAGCUUAACUUGGGAACUGCCAUUGAUACUAUCUUUCUUGAAUACCUUGGAGGUGAGCGGAAUAUGUCAUGUAGCGGUGAAAUGCUUAGAUAUGACAUAGAACACCAAUUGCGAAGGCAGCUCACUACACGGUCAUUGACACUGAGGCACGAAAGCGUGGGGAUCAAACGGG
rnacentral:rRNA from 1 species